CUGAAAGAUUGCAGUUACAGAAUCCCCGUUUUUUUUGGACGGCAAAUUAUACGAUGACAUUAACGAGGUUGCCAACUUUGAUCAGCUGCCUGGCGUGAGAUUCUCAACUAGAGACAAGUCUGCGCACACAUGCACACGCGUUUACAUGUACGUAACAGUUAUAUUACAUUGUAAAUAGUUUAUAGGGUUAGCAAACUACCCUAACGCUUCUGAUGUUGCUAAUAUUAGGUUUUCAAACGGAAUAAUAUAGAUUUGCCGUUAGAUAUCUUGCGUGAGCGUUUGAAAUCAUAUCACAGCAAAUGCGGGAGAGUUGGCAACCCAGGGUGCAACGGAGCAUUUUACUAAACAUGCUACCUCAUCCAUAUGAGGACUGAGUCACUAGCUACUGUACAUCGAUAUGUACUAUGAGUUCUUCUUUGGACAAGGGAAGUUCACAAGUUUGUUCAUCACCAGUUGUCAGACCUACUUCUAUCUUUUCUAUGCAUGAUGCCAACUUACAAGCUAUCAAGAGCUUUAUUGAGGCUUCUGAAAAGAGAAUUAUGAUGAAGUUAGAGAGGAUGCAGGAUGACUUUCAGAAUGCAAUCCAAGGAUUACAACAAAUAUCUGCACCCUCCCCAUCACAUGAACAAGUGAUAUGGGAGAAACCAUGUGAGACUCAACAGGAUAUAGUAGGCCUGUGCAGCAACCUGGCAUACAGAAGAAAAAUGAUCCACUACCUGAGCCUGCUGAGGGGCAACAAUGUUGGAGACACAGUGAGGCUCAUCUUAAGGAAAAUAGGGACCAGUGCCUUGUGGGGAGAGUACAGUUUGAAGGGGAGGAAAGGGAAAAGAUCCUUAGGUGUUGGAGCUAUACAAUGUGAUCUUAUCUGCAUGCAGUAAAGCUCAUGCUGAAGCAACCAACCUCACCAUGGAUAAUUCAAUUGCAGUGACACUAAAGCACUGUCCAGGCCAUGGAUCUCAGAAGGAUGAUGCUGCAGUGAGAGAUACAAGGGAAAUGGAGCAGGGACCUGAAGCGGAUGAAUUUGCUUGUUAAUGUUAACAUUAGAAUGUUAUUAAAUGUUAAAGUCAUUAAAGUUUUUGAUGUUAAUAAAGUGAGAUGAUUGAAA